GAGUCUCAGAGGAGUAAAGCAGCGUCAGAUUCACAUAACUAGCAAAGGGCAGAGUUGGGAUUAGAACCCCUGCUAUUAACUCCCAGACCAGUGGUCUCUUUUCUGCCUUUCCUUUUUUUUUUUCUCCUGGCACACAAAAACUGAAGGCAGUAUUAAGACAGCCUUGAUGUUGUUCUUUAUCAUACAGAAGCCACUCUAGGAAUCUGCUGGUUAUAAUUAAUAAGUAAAUGAGAAUUCAAACCUGAAUGACAUGAAUCAGAUGGGAAGAUAUGUCUAGUCACAUGUUGUGUACAACACCCAGCACAUUACUGGUACCUGGAAAUUUUGAAGAAACAUUGAAAAGAAGAAAAAAAACACCAUUCGGACAUCUUAGCUUAGCUCCAAGGCAAGGAGAUGGAAACAAAGCAAAUAUAAGCUGGGAUUGACUGGGAUUGAUAGGGACUGGUCAGACAAGCAAUGAAUGUUUUCUGUACUUAUCAUAACGUCUCUCUCGUGGCAAUCAAAACCUACAUCAGGCUGAGGAACUAGAGAAGAAAAUUCAGUUCAGCUUUCCAAAAGAAUCCUGUUAAGACACCCAUUGGGGAAAUUCCCAUUUCUAGGAAGAUUGUGACAGUUGACCUAAAUCACAGGAAGUUGAGAUCACAGAUCAUGGAAUUAAAAUGUGAAAGGGAUCUCAGCCAUUAGGUAACCUCUUAUCUAUGGGGAAUCUUAAGUCUUAGAUGGGGAAUUCAAGGUCCAGAACAUGGAGGUGACUUGCCCAAUGCCACAGAAGUAAUAAACAGCAGAACUGAA